UGAGGAAUAUUGGACAAUGGAUGGAAAUCUGAUCCAGCCAUGCCGCGUGCAGGAAGACUGCCCUAUGGGUUGUAAACUGCUUUUGUAUGGGAGCAAUAAGCCCUUCGUGAAGGGUGAUGAGAGUACCAUACGAAUAAGCAUCGGCUAACUCCGUG
rnacentral:rRNA from 1 species